UGAAAACGCUCAAACAAACCGUUGCAUU
rnacentral:sRNA from 1 species